rnacentral:misc_RNA from 1 species
GAUGAAGAACGUAGCGAAAUGCGAUACUUGGUGUGAAUUGCAGAAUCCCGUGAACCAUCGAGUCUUUGAACGCAAGUUGCGCCCGAAGCCAUCAGGUUGAGGGCACGUCUGCCUGGGCGUCACAUAUCGUUGCCUAAUGCCUAUUGCAGUGCAAUAGGAAUUUCUAGGGCGAAUGAUGGCUUCCCGUGAGCGUUGUUGCCUCGCGGUUGGUUGAAAAUCGAGUCCUUGGUAGGGUGUGCCAUGGUAGAUGGUGGUCGAGUUAGAACGAUACCGAUCAUGUGCAUGCUCCCCAAAAUAUGGCCUCUAUGACCCACACGCGUCUUUUGACGCUCAUGACGAGACCUCAGGUCAGGCGGGGCUACCCGCUGAAUUUAAGCAUAUCAAUAAGCGGAGGA